GCCCCCCCUCCCCGGGCAGCCGCCUGUGUCGCCCGUAUCAAAAACCGUUACUAAAGUUACAACAUGAUUUGCUUACCUUGUCCGUCACUUCCGCCACUUCUUUUGGUUCUCUUCCAACAGAAAGUAGGGCAAAGUUCACACCCACAGAGGAGCGGUGUUACUCAGAGACUGACUGGAUUAAACGGAACAGAAGUUUUUAUAACAUAACAGAGUCCAGUUCGACCACAUCAUCUUACUGAGGUCUGUACUACGAAGCAGGAUUAGAUCUUAUUCAGUGAAUCUUUUCAGACUGAUCUGCAGGGACACUGAGAGGUCCAACUGGUGUUUUAUGGAAAAAGCAAGAUGAUCAUUUUUAAAGUGAAGGUAGAAAGUGUGUGUGAGCUGAAUUGAGCAGC